UUGACCUCAAAUCGGGUGAGACUACCCGCUGAACUUAAGCAUAUCAAUAAGCGGAGGAAAAGAAACUAACAAGGAUUCCCCUAGUAACUGCGAGUGAAGCGGGAAAAGCUCAAAUUUAAAAUCUGGCGGCCUCUGGUCGUCCGAGUUGUAAUUUAGAGAAGCGUCUUCCGCGCUGGACCGUGCACAAGUCUCCUGGAAUGGAGCGUCAUAGAGGGUGAGAAUCCCGUCUUUGGCACGGAUGYACCAGGGCUUUYGUGAUGCGCUCUCGAAGAGUCGAGUUGUUUGGGAAUGCAGCUCAAAAUGGGUGGUGAACUCCAUCUAAAGCUAAAUAUUGGCGAGAGACCGAUAGCGAACAAGUACCGUGAGGGAAAGAUGAAAAGCACUUUGGAAAGAGAGUGAAACAGUACGUGAAAUUGUUGAAAGGGAAACGCUUGAAGUCAGUCGCGUCGACCGAGACUCAGCCUUGCCUCGGCUCGGUGUACUUCUCGGCCGACGGGUCAGCAUCAAUUUUGCCCCUCGGAUAAUGGCGAGAGAAAGGUGGCACCCUCACGGGUGUGUUAUAGUCUCCCGUCGGAUGCGAGGGUYGGGAUUGAGGAACUCGGCACGUACCGUGCUUAGGAUGUUGGCAUAAUGGCUUUAAACGACCCGUCUUGAAACACGGACCAAGGAGUCUAACAUGCCCGCGAGUGUUCGGGUGGAAAACCCGUGCGCGUAAUGAAAGUAAAAGUUGGGACCCCUGUCGUGGGGGGCACCGACGCCCGGACCAGACCUUCUGUGACGGAUCUGCGGUAGAGCGUGCAUGUUGGGACCCGAAAGAUGGUGAACUAUGCCUGAAUAGGGUGAAGCCAGAGGAAACUCUGGUGGAGGCUCGUAGCGAUUCUGACGUGCAAAUCGAUCGUCAAAUUUGGGUAUAGGGGCGAAAGACUAAUCGAACCAUCUAGUAGCUGGUUCCUGC
rnacentral:rRNA from 1 species